rnacentral:rRNA from 1 species
GAAAGAUGAAAAGAACUUUGAAAAGAGAGUUAAAUAGUACGUGAAAUUGUUGAAAGGGAAACGAUUGAAGCCAGUCGUACCUGCGGGUAAUCAGCCUUUUGGGCAUGAUUCUGUGGAAGUGUGAGGAGUUAAACGCCUUCAUGCCUGCAUAUUCGUGUACUUUGGGUGUACUUGCCUGUGUGGUUAGUUAACAUCAAUUUUGGUUAUCAUAAAAUGGUUGGAGGAAUGUAGCUUCGAUUUCGAUUGAAGUGUUAUA